GAGGGGGCGGGGCUGUUGUAAACUGAAAGUCCAUUGGGCUAAACUGGAAGUGUAGUGGCUCUUCAUUGGCUGAGCUGUGACUGUCUCUCAUUGGCUGGACUGUUGCUGGGGGAGGAGGAAACUUUCCUUCCUCUAGCCUGGUAGCCGGUAGCCCGCAAGGCGUAGGUCUCCUGUCUGGACUCGAUUUUGAGGAGUGGUCGGGGAUGAGAGCUGCCGGUGCUGGCCUCCCAGCUCCGUUCCAAGGUCAUGGACAGGCCCAGCGGGCGCGUAUUUGAAUGGAAGACGGUACUCUGGAGACGGGAGAGAUCGUGCAGCGCAGCGUGCCAAGUCGUAUCUUUCUGACUCAGGACACAGCUUCUUCAUUCCUUUAUACGGCUGCAGAGAAACCCUGCAAAAUAAUUUUCAGAGUUUUUCUAAGAUAAGGACAGACACCAAUACCAAUUAAACACAGACUCACAUAUGCUCCAGCAACCCCAGCCCUGAGCACACACCCAGAGUGAAGGCAGGGACCUGAAGACACUCGCCCAUCGUGUGCACACAGCGAGUCACGGCAGCCAGAACUCGCUCGCCAUCCCAGCGUCCGUCUGGGGCCGAAGGAAUGGGCAAAGAAAAUGCAGUGGGGCCACACAACGGAAGACUGUUCGGCCUUAAAAAGGAGGGGAAAUCUGUCAGUGCAGAUUCUGCUCGGUGCAAUCAGCCAGUCACAAAGGACGAACACUGUAUGUUUCACCUCUGUGAGGUCCCUGGAGUCAUCAGGGCCGGAGGAGGACGGUGGGGACCCCCAGAGGUCCCCAGAGAAGUGGGGCCAGGAGGGUGCGGGAGCGGGGGGCGCUGAUAGGCUGUGGGCAGCUCCACUGUGGUGCCAGAUGCCGGGGACCCUCGGUCACCCUCCACCACAGUGCUUGCGGGGAGAGAGGAGGUGAGACUCUGCAAGGUUGAGGGGGAUGGGGUCAGGGGUGUCCAAGGACUAGAGAAAAUGAGCACUGAGGGUUCCGGGGUGUGGAUGUGUGUAGGGGGAGGUGGGGGCCAGGCUGAACAAACAAACGAUGGGUGCCUGCACGCAUGGAGGAAUGAACGGAUGAGCUUCUGAGACGCGGACAGUCACGGCACAGGCUCCUGGGUGUGAGUGGGGGUGCAGGGCGGUGGAGACCCCAUCUGUCCCCACAGCCCACAUCUGCCCCCCAAAGCUCCAUUCCCCCGUUCCUGUGUCCUGCAGGUGGGACGGAUGCCCUUCCUGUCCCCACAGAUGUCAGACCUUUGCCCCUCAGCCAGAAACACUUCACCCUUUCCCAGGUCUGGAUCAGAUUAACAGAGGCCGACACAGGGAGGAUGAGGGUAGGGAUAGAAUAGGGGCUCCGAGCGCAGGACAGCACAGUUCCCCAAGGAAAGCAGGGCCUGUGGCCCUGCCCCCACCGUCUCCUCCUCUGCCAGGGCAAGAGGAAGUGUGCCCGGGGCCACAACUGGCAGGAAGAGCAGAAUGACCUGCUAAAUCCACUUGGCCUGAGGGAAGCCAGGUCUGGGGGUGGGGGAGCCACCCACUGGAGCCAGCCCGGCCAAACUGGGGAGAGCAGGCAGGACCGGGUCCGUGCUGUGCAGGGGUCUUCGGGCAGGGAGCUGGGGCCCCCGGGCUGCCCCUGGAUAUGGGCAUGGCCGAGGGAGGAAGCCCUGACCUAGAAGGGCUCUGAGCCCAGGGCACAGGCCGUUUACCAUGCAGGCUCUAAACAUGGGCCCCAGCCACCAGCCCUGAGCCCUGUGGGUAGGGGGUGGCUCCCUCUAAGGGAGCCAAGUCCCGCGCUGGGGUCUGCAGGAGGCGCCGUGUCCUGGAACCCGGGCUCAGACAGGUGCCGCCUGUGGACAGUCAGGGACACCAACCCAGAGAGGCCAAGGGAGGGGCCUGGGCACUGAGGCAGGCAGCCCCGGCUCCAGGUCCAAGCCAGCCCCCUGCCCCACCCGACUCCUCGGUCCCACCAGGAAGGGGGGAGGGGCUCUUGACACCCCUUCAGGUCUGUGGCCGGUAAAGGAGGAAGGGUGCCCCCGGGGAGACAGGUGGGGGGCCUGCCAGGCUGGCUUUCACACGAUACACCACCAGCUGGAGGGCAGGAGAAGGGAAGGCGGGUCCCUGAGGCUCCCAGGAAGCUUCCCCCCCGCCCUGCCCAGCCAGCUCCCACUCAGCAAGCAGCAUGGGGAGAGGCCGGGGGUACCUCCAAGGUCAGGGAGG